UCCGUAGGUGAACCUGCGGAAGGAUCAUUAGUGAACGCCCUCACGGGCUUAUAACUAUUCCAAACCUCUGUGAACCGUGCCCUUCGGGGCUAUUUUACAAACAUGGUGUAAUGAACGUCAUAUAUCAUAACAAAACAAAACUUUCAACAACGGAUCUCUUGGCUCUCGCAUCGAUGAAGAACGCAGCGAAAUGCGAUAAGUAAUGUGAAUUGCAGAAUUCAGUGAAUCAUCGAAUCUUUGAACGCACCUUGCGCCCUCUGGUAUUCCGGAGGGCAUGCCUGUUUGAGUGUCAUGUAGACUCAAUCCCUCGGGUUUCCGAGGAGAUUGGACUUGGGUGUUGCCGCUCUGCCGGCUCGCCUUAAAAGACUUAGCGGGAUAGCACCGUAGUCGGCGUAAUAAGUUUCGUCGGUGAAGGUUGUGAUGACUGCUUACAAUCGCCCUCGGGCAAUUUUUGACUCUGACCUCAAAUCAGGUAGGACUACCCGCUGAACUUAAGCAUAUCAAUAAGCGGAGGAAGUCGACUGCCAAGGGGCACACAGGGGGGGAUA
rnacentral:rRNA from 1 species